CCUACGGGAGGCAGCAGUAGGGAAUAUUGCUCAAUGGGGGAAACCCUGAAGCAGCAACGCAGCGUGGAGGAUGAAUGUUUUCGGAUUGUAAACUCCUUUUGUUAGAGAAGAUAAUGACGGUAUCUAACGAAUAAGCACCGGCUAACUCCGUGCCAGCAGCCGCGGUAAUACGGAGGGUGCAAGCGUUACUCGGAAUCACUGGGCGUAAAGCGCGCGUAGGCGGGAUAGCAAGUCAGAUGUGAAAUCCUAUGGCUUAACCAUAGAACUGCAUUUGAAACUGUUAUUCUAGAGUAUGGGAGAGGUAGGUGGAAUUCUUGGUGUAGGGGUAAAAUCCGUAGAGAUCAAGAGGAAUACUCAUUGCGAAGGCGACCUGCUAGAACAUAACUGACGCUGAUGCGCGAAAGCGUGGGGAGCAAACAGGAUUAGAUACCCGAGUAGUC
rnacentral:rRNA from 1 species